ACCCAAGUGAUGAGUCCCAAAUAGGACGAAACGCGCGUCAUGGAU
rnacentral:hammerhead_ribozyme from 1 species